AAGACGAUACCAAUUGCUCCAUUUACAACACACGGUAUCAAAACGUUGUAACCGUUUUUAGAGUUCGAUAUGGCGGUUCCUCUUUUACUCUCUGCUUUAUUAUUAGUGACAUCAUUAGGAUUUGUCACAAAUGAUGCGAUUGGAAAAUAUGAAUACAAUUAUUCUGUUAAUCGAGAGAAGGUUCAUCAACAGGAGAGAGAUUUCGCGGGUUACCCGACUGAUUACACUGAGGAUGAACAGAUCGUCCAGAAUUACCUGGAGUAUAUUAAAUGGAUGGAAUUUCAGAAGACUAAGGACGACUUUUACCCCGCACGUCCUAUAAAACUCCACCUCUCCGACAUCAAAGCCUCGGAAAUAUACCGUGUUCUGAAGAAGUUUCCAAAGGGAGGCAAUCUUCAUCUUCACCACAACCACGUUGUGAGUAAAUCCACCAUCCUGGACUUCAUUUAUAAAAACCCUUACUUAUUGGACAACUUCUACGUCAGAGAGUCGCCGGAACCUAACAAAUGGCGUUUUAAUUUUUAUCUCAAUCCUCCAACUGGAUGGGUGAAGGUCAAGGACAACCCCAAAUACACGAAGGGCGUCAUAAUCGAACACUCCACAUUUCUUGGUGUUAUUGAUGACAAGGCACUUAGUUCACCAACCAUCAGUGGCUUAAGAUGGAAAGAAAUGAAUCCACUCUUUAGCACCUUAGGAUCAGCCAUAGUAAACCAAAUUAACGUUUCCAGGUUUCACAUGGAAGCGAUGUUUCAGUCAGCAAUAGACGAAAAUGUACAGUAUUUUGAGACAAAGUCUCCUGCGUACAAUAAAAUCUAUUUAUUAGAUUCUGAUCCUAGAUUCGCGAAUAAACAUGGCAAGCAUUAUGUAGACAAUGAUCUAGGCGAGGAAGAGCUUCAUAUGGUGGAAGAUGUUUUAUAUCAAUUUCAACAGAAGAACCCAUCAUUUAUUGGAUAUAAACGAAUUGUAAACUCUUACAAACGAACAAGUCUCACUUUAAUGAAGAAAGAUGCAGAGAAAGCACUCACACUUCAUAAGCAAUAUCCUCAUCUUGUUGCUGGAUUUGACAUGGUAGCGCAAGAGGAUCUCGGCUUUUCUCUACUAUUUUACCUCAGAGACUUUGCGGAGUUAGAGGUUCGGAACGAGUCCCUGCCCUACUUUUUCCACACCGCGGAAACUAACUGGCCAGCAGAAUACAUGACGUCGACUCACGUGACAGACCCGGUUGCAACGAUAGAAAAUACGUACGAUGCAAUUCUGUUGGGAGCCAAGAGAGUUGGGCAUGGGAUAGGUUUUAUGAGCCACCCCUUUCUAAUGGAGCAGCUCAAGCAGAAGAAAAUUGCCGUGGAGGCCAAUCCAGUGAGUAACCAAAUGCUGGGAUUUGUUCCCGAUCAGCGCCACCACCCGGCUAUUACCUACAUCCGGUACGGCAUACCCGUUGUUUUAGGGGCAGAUGACCCCGCCACAUUUGGAUACGAUGAAUUCACAGUGGAUUGGUACGAAGCAGUCAUGGGAUGGGAUUUGACGCUUGCUGAUAUGCGCCACCUGGCAACGAAUUCUCUCCAGUAUAGUUCUCUGUUAGACUCGAGAAACCGGCCGCAAUCACCAAGUGGCAAAACUCCUACAAUCUUUUCAUAACAAACACAAAACAGGAAGCAUGUAGCCUGACUUUCAAUAAAACAAACCCGAUCAUCGAAUCUAUAUUUCCUCAAGAGGGUCCCUUGACCGGUGGAAACAUCGUGAAAGUGUUCGGAAGACAUUUCAAUAUGGCGAUUUGUAGAACUAUCUACUGCCGAUUUGGAACCACGACAACGAAAGGAACGCUGGUGUACGAUCACAGCAUUGAUUGUCCGUCACCCGUCCGGGCCUCCCACGGACCUCAUCUCGACCCCAUGCACGUGAAGUUCAGCGUAUCUCUGGACAGCGGUUCUACCUUCAUCAUCACGAAUAAAACUUACUCCUUUAUUCACUCUGGUAAUGGAAUACCCAUAUCUGGUGUUGUCGGAUGAUAUUUCCGUUAACAAACAUAGUUUUAAUGCCUUAGUUUUUAUAUAUGGUAAACGUCUAUUUCUUUAUUCUUUGUUUGAUUAUUACACCAUACACAUAGUUACUAGUAUAUGAUUUUUAGCUCGUUUUUUAAAAUAAUUAUUGUAGUGUUUAUAAGUUUUAAAAUGUCGAUUUAUAACAGGCUUUGAUCUUCUUCUAAUCCGAAAAAAUUCUGUUUAACUUUUUAAAUUACCAUACCACGCGCAUUAUGUACAAUGACUAAUGUUUGUCGUAUAUCUCGUUAGUAUUGUUACCUACACAGAAUACAACAACUGAAAUGCAUUAUACAUGCAUCAGUAUUAGUGAAGGAAAUUAAAAAGCUAUGGAAAU
rnacentral:misc_RNA from 1 species